GUGCCUGAAACCUUGGCUCAGGCCU
rnacentral:miRNA from 1 species